GUGACAUGUUAGGACUUUAAUGAGUUUAAGACCUAAUGAGCCUUUUAAGUGAGGCCGCCAGCAACCUUUUUUUUCUUUACAUUUUAAAAAAAAAACUAAAAUUCUAUCCUUAUCGGUGGAUCACUAGGCUCGUGGAUCGAUGAAGAACGCAGCAAACUGCGAUAAUUAUUGCGAACUGCAGAAGUAUUGAGCACAAAAGUUUUGAACGCAAAUGGCCGCAUUGAGGUCAAACUCUUUGCAACGUCUGGUUCAGGGUCAUU
rnacentral:rRNA from 1 species